GAUGAACGCUAGCGGCAGGCCUAAUACAUGCAAGCCGAACGGUAAUUUUGGUAGCAAUACUAAGACUAGAGUGGCGUAAGGGUGCGUAACACGUAUGCAAUCUACCCGCAACAGGAGGAUAGCUCCCCGAAAGGGGAAUUAACCCUCCAUGAGAUCACGGUCAGGCAUCUGAGAGUGAUUAAAUCUGAGGAGGUUGUGGAUGAGCAUGCGUCGAUUAGCUAGUUGGUAGGGUAAAGCCUACCAAGGCGACGAUCCGUAGCUGGUCUGAGAGGAUGA
rnacentral:rRNA from 1 species